UACGUAGGUGGCAAGCGUUGUCCGGAUUUAUUGGGUUUAAAGGGUGCGUAGGCGGUCUUAUAAGUCAGUGCUGAAAUAUCCCGGCUUAACCGGGAGGGAGGCAUUGAUACUGUAGGACUUGAGUAAAGUUGAGGUUGGCGGAAUUGACGGUGUAGCGGUGAAAUGCUUAGAUAUGACAUAGAACACCAAUUGCGAAGGCAGCUGGCUACGCAUAUAUUGACACUGAGGCACGAAAGCGUGGGGAUCAAACAGG
rnacentral:rRNA from 1 species